rnacentral:rRNA from 1 species
UUAAGCUAUUAAGGGCUGAUGGCGGAUGCCUUGGCACCGGAAGGCGAAGAAGGACGUGGAAAGCUGCGAUAAGCUUCGGGGAGCCGCUAACAGGCAUUGAUCCGGAGGUUUCCGAAUGGGGAAACCCGGCAGAGGUCAUACUCUGUCAUCAUGUACUGAAUACAUAGGUACAUGAGGCGAACGAGGGGAAGUGAAACAUCUCAGUACCCUCAGGAAAAGAAAGCAAUUGCGAUUCCGUAAGUAGCGGCGAGCGAACGCGGAUUAGCCCAAACCAUGCUCUUUUCGGAGAGUGUGGGGUUGUGGGGCCCCGAUGUGAGAUGAUGACGGAUAGUGGAACGGUAUGGAAAGGCCGACCAGAGAUGGUGAUAGUCCAGUACACGAAAUCCGGAUUCACUCUAGGGUAACCCCGAGUACCACGAGACACGUGAAACCUUGUGGGAAUCAGGGAGGACCAUCUCCCAAGGCUAAAUACUAACCGGUGACCGAUAGUGAACAAGUACCGUGAGGGAAAGGUGAAAAGAACCCCGAGAGGGGAGUGAAAUAGAAACUGAAACCGUCAGCUUACAAGCAGUUGGAGCAUUAAUUUAUUAGUGUGACAGCGUGCCUUUUGCAUAAUGAGUCAACGACUUAUCCUGUGUAGCGAGGUUAAGCCGCGAGGUGGAGCCGGAGCGAAAGCGAGUCUUAACAGGGCGCAUUAGUUACAUGGGGUAGACCCGAAGCCGGGUGAUCUAUCCAUGUCCAGGGUGAAGGUCGAGUAACAUCGACUGGAGGCCCGAACCAUUGUAGGUUGAAAACUGCUUGGAUGAGGUGUGGAUAGGAGUGAAAGGCUAAUCAAACUCGGUGAUAGCUGGUUUUCUCCGAAAUAUAUUUAGGUAUAGCCUCGUGAGGUCACUAACGGAGGUAGAGCACUGUUUGGGCUAGGGGUCCCACCCGGACUACCAACCCCAUGCAAACUCCGAAUGCCGUUAAGUUGUAUCACGGGAGUCAGACUGUGGGAGAUAAGUUCCAUGGUCGAGAGGGAAAGAGCCCAGACCGCCAACUAAGGUCCCUAAAUCUGUGCUAAGUGGGAAAGGAGGUGAAACUGCUAAGACAACCAGGAGGUUGGCUUAGAAGCAGCAACCCUUUAAAGAAAGCGUAACAGCUCACUGGUCUAGUGGAUUUGCGCCGAAAAUGUAACGGGGCUUAAGCACAGUACCGAAGUUGCGGGUAUCAGAAACCGGAACACAGAGGACAGAAGCCAGACAGAUGAUCAAAUCAUUUGAAGAUCUUGAGGUAUUUCAAAGAUCAUAUAAAAUUUCUUUGGAGAUUCAUCAAAUCAGCAUAGAAUUUCCCAAGCGAGAACAAUAUGGUCUUGGCGAUCAAAUACGGCGAGCAAGCAAAUCAAUAUGUGCAAACAUUGCAGAAGGAUUUGCGAAACAGCGGUAUUCAAGUUCUGAAUUCAAGCGAUAUAUAAUGAUCGCUACAGGAUCAAGUGAUGAGAUGCGAGUCUGGCUAAGAUACUGUCUUGAUUUAGAGUACAUAGAGGAAGCAACCUGGAAAGAGUGGCGAGAUGAGUACCAACAAAUCUCCAAGAUGCUCCAGGGUUUAUACAGAAGCUGGGAGUAGGAAGCGCGCAGCGUCACACUAUUCUGAUCUUCUGUCCUCUGUGUUCUGGUUUCUGAUACGGUAGGAGAACAUUGUGUAGGCCUGUGAAGGUAUAUCGUGAGGUAUGCUGGAGGUAUCACAAGAGCUUAUGUUGACACGAGUAGCGAAAAAGAGGGUGAAAAACCCUCUCGCCGAAAGUCUAAGGUUUCCUGCAGUCAAGUUAAUCUGCUCAGGGUUAGUCGGCCCCUAAGGCGAGGCUGAAAAGCGUAGUCGAUGGGAAACAGGUUAAUAUUCCUGUACCACUGGUAUGGAGACUGUAUAAGGGGGGACGGAGAAGGAUAGGCCAUCCGGGUGUUGGAAAUCCCGGUUUAAGCGUGUAGGCGGAGGGUCCAGGCAAAUCCGGAUUCUCAUAACGUUGAGGCGUGAUGACGAAGCCCGCAAGGGCUGCAAAGUGGUUGAUUCCAUGCUUCCAGGAAAAUCCUC